GUUGAAGCAAACAGAGGUGGAUUGCGAGUUUUUAAAGAAAUAUUGUGAGACACUAACAGAUGAAAACAAAAAGCUUUACAAAGAAUUGCAAGAACUGAAAGCUUUAAAAGUUGGGCAGCCGUUGUACAUGAAGCUGCCGGCUGCAGCCACGCUCACUGUGUGUCCUUCCUGCGAAAGAGUCGGCGCCGGCGCUGCCCAAAACUCAGCCAAGCCUCCUCACCUAUACGGCUCCUUUACUAAUCCCUCAGCAGCUUGUUAAUUAAUUAGUACAGUAUGCAAAUCGUCUUGUUGAAUUUAUUUUUAAUUAAUGUCUUGUUGAUUAACUAGAUUCUUA
rnacentral:misc_RNA from 1 species